UCUUUCACGUAGCUAUCAGAUAUUGUGAAAAAUGUCAGUUGAUUAAACCUGAUCGAGCGCAUCACUGCUCAGCAUGUGAUACAUGUAUUCUUAAGAUGGAUCAUCACUGUCCUUGGGUGAACAAUUGUGUGGGAUUUUCUAAUUACAAAUUCUUCCUGCUGUUUUUAUUAUAUUCCCUAUUAUAUUGCCUUUUCGUGGCUCUAACAGUUUUAGAGUACUUUAUAAAAUUUUGGACGGUAAGUCUUUUUUCUCUAUCUUACAUGUUUAUAAGACUUUUUAAGAUGCAAUAAUUUUUUAAUAACUUCUUUUAAUU